UGUCGUAGUCAUUGUCUUCGUGGUCACCGCCACCGGUAAACUUAACCGGUUUAAUAUCUGGUUCGGUUUUAUAAUCCCACAUGUAGAGAGAGAGAACGGAUAAUUCGUUUAUCCAAAAAAGGCGAGAGAAAAACCAAAGUGCAACACGUCACAUGAUCCGCAAGAGACGAACUCGUGUUACUUGAAUGAUUGAUGGAAACAAGUAAAAUGCAAAUCUCGCUGUCUCCUUCAUGUUUUUAUUAAAGCUCUGUCUUUUUUUUUUCUCUUAAAUUUCUCUUUAAAAUGGACAAGACACUGAGAUGUGUCCGGUGGGGUUACGAGGUUAAUGCCUCUUCCGAUGAAUGCAUCAACGCAAUUGACUCAUACUUUCAUCAGGUUCCUCUUCGAUUAUCACCCUUUCAUUGCAAACUUAACAAAGACAGAAGAUUUUAUGGUUCUGAUGUGCUUUCUCUGGCUCUUGGUUCUUAGUUAUGGGAGGAACUGGAAAGUGAUUCUAGAAGCACCACUCGACGACAAAGAUUGUGUCUUGGGCAACGUUUUAGCUGCUCAUUACCUUUCCUCAUCGGAUCAUUCCAAAGCUAAUACCUAUGUUGAAGCUGCAAGAUCCAAUAUUGAACAAUCUACACCUUAUGAGAAAGCUGUGUUCGAGGCUGUUAGUUAUCUCAUCUCCGAGGACAGGGAUUAUGACUUGGCUCUUGAAUUGCACACCCAGCUACUUCAAAGAUUCCCCAAGGAUCUGGCCUCUCUGAAGAGAGCACAGGUGUUAUGCUUCUACAUGGGACAGCCUGCUCCCUUUCUGAGUCUUGUUCAGCAAGUUCUACCAGUGAAUCAAGAAGAGAGUUACAUACACGGUAUGCUUGCCUUCCCAUUGUUAGAACUUGGUCGAAUGGAAGAAGCUGCGGCAGCUUCCAGAAAAGGCUAUGAGAUUAACAAAGAAGACGCCUGGGCACAUCACUGUUUGUGUCAUGUUCUUCAACAUGAAUGUAAGUUUAAAGAAGCAGUGGAGUUCAUGGAAGAACUCUCAGAAUCUUGGCAAUCUUGCUCAUCCUUCUUGUAUACACACAAUUGGUGGCAUAUUGCUCUCUGUUACUUGGAAGGAGGGUCACCAAUGAGCAAAAUAGAGGAGAUUUAUGAUAAUCACAUCUGGAAAGAAUUGGAGAAAGGCGACGCUGUUCCCCCUGAAGUUUAUCUCAAUGCUAUUGCUUUGUUAUUGCGUUUGGAUGUAGGAGAUGCUCUCAAAGGUUCGUUUGAAGACCGUCUUAAACUCCUUGCAGCUCGUUUGACUGAUCAGGAAAACUGGUAUAUGUCAUGGCACCUUGACAUAUUGAUAGUUUGGGCACUGGCCAAGGUUGGAGAGACUUCAAGAGCUCGUGAAUUACUCGAGGGUCUGAAGCUCCGACUAUCGAAGAUGAACAAGAAGAAACAACAAGUGAUGCAGAAAGGGAUUCAGCUCGGAGAAGCUGUGUAUGAAUACGCAAAGGGUAACUACAAACAGGCUCUAGAACUACUUGGUUCAGAUUUUAACGCUUUUGGCUACAAGUUGAUGAUGAUAGAUCACUGGGGCAUCAGAUGAACAGAUUGAUGUUUUCAACGAAAUGUGGUGCCAGUUGCUCCUAAAGACAGGCCAAUCCAAGACUGCCAAAGAAGUGAUAAGAGAGAGGACCAAGGUCAGAGAUGGUGUUCCUUUCAUGUGGCGUUUGCUGGUAAAAUAUAACAAUGCAUUCUAAGGAGAAGAGUUAUACCAUGGAAGGCAAUGCACAGGCUGAGAGUGCAGGAGAUAGAGCUAAGAAGCUGGAAUCUUCUUAUUUUUAACUCUGCUAUUGCUUCUUGAUAAUAAAUUAAUAAGGUGUUUACACGUUUCUAAGACAAAAGAGGAAAACCCUUUGGAAUAAGUGUGGUGUACAUUCUGUUUCAAAGUAAAGAAGAAGCACUUUUACUUGUGGCUAUAAGUUUUGUGUAAAUCCAUAUGUGAUCUUAAUAUAUAUUAUAGCUUAAAAGAUCGG